rnacentral:ncRNA from 2 species
AGUUGCAUACAAGUAUUAGGUGCCCAUUGCGGGAGAAUAGGGAAUAAAGUGAAAAACUUUAGCGGUCCCACCACUGUAAAAGGGAGUUUCAUAGAGAAUACCACUAGCAUGGUCUGGGAAGGUUCUAUGAAAUGUUGAACUUGAGCCAGGAGACCUGCCUAAUUGACUUCGGAUUA